rnacentral:rRNA from 1 species
CGCGGUAUUUUGACUGUGCGAAGGUAGCAUAAUCAUUUGUCUUUUAAUUGAAGACUUGUAUGAAUGGCUGAACGAGAAAAUAACUGUCUCUUUAAAAAAUCUUGAAUUUUACUUUUAAGUGAAAAGGCUUAAAUAAUUUUAAGGGACGAUAAGACCCUAUAAAUCUUUAUAUUAUUUUUCUUUAACUUUCAAAUUAUAUAUUAAAAGAAAUAAAAGAAAAAAAUAUUAUAUUGGGGAGAUAAAAAUAUAAUUUUUAACUGUUUUAAAUACAAAACAAUAAUUUUUGAUUUAUUAAAAAUUGAUCCUUUUUAAAGAUUUUAAGAUUAAGUUACUUUAGGGAUAACAGCGUAAUUUUUUUUGAGAGUUCUUAUCGAAAAAAAAGUUUGCGACCUCGAUGUUGAAUUAAAAUAUCCUUAUAAGUGCAGAAGCUAUAAAGGAAAGUCUGUUCGACUUUUAAAUUUUUACAU